UCAAUAAACUAUCCCUUUUAGUAAAUAAAUAUUCUCAAAUUGAUUAAUUAACUCCUUUCAACUUUUUCGGCUUUGUUUAGAAUUGCAGUGAGAAUGUGUUAUAUAUGGCGAGAAAGAAAAGUGAAAUAAUAUUCUAUUUAUUUUCGCUAAAUAUAUUAUAAGUAGAAAACUUAUAGAAUUUAUCAGAAUUAUAGAUCAUUUUGAGUUGACUAUUCAAUCUUUCAAAAUUUCGACUUUACUAUUCAAGUUUUCAGUUUGUUUAAUUUGGAUCAAUUAAUGGCAUUUUGACUUUAAAAUUUUAAUAAGUCAUGUAUCUUUACAGUUCUGAUUCGUUUGCUUCAUGUAAUUCUCGUAAUAAUAAAUUUAUUUAAAUGAGUGAUUAGAUUAAAUUUUCAAAUCAAAGUAUUGUUGACAGAAUCAAAUGAAAUAAAUUGACCGGUUGGGUAGUAAAAUAAAAAAUUUAAAAUAUUGGGUAGCCGAUUCAAAAUGACAUAUAGUUCAAGUAAAUGUCGUAUGUUUUUUUACCUAUAUUAUAUUGAGGAGAUCGCAAUAAUUCAAUUAAAAUAAGAUUAAUAUUUUUGGCAAAACAUAGAACGGUAUAAUAAAACAUUUUACCAUCCGUGAAGCUACGCUUUACU
rnacentral:lncRNA from 1 species